CAGGCGUUGGAUUGGAUAUUUUCACAGGAAGUUGCAGCUGUUUGAAUCAAACACAAGAGUGGUUAGGCAACUGUUAAGCAACAUAAGGACUUACAUGUAGUGAAAAAAUGUCUUGCAAUUUUGACAUCCAGGGAGUAUUGUGUGAAAAACAAUUUGUAUUUAAUACAAUGUGGCAAUGAACAAUAAGUUUGUUGCAAAAGAGUUUCAAAGUGACUGGUUUAACUGUGAUAUGGUCUCUGAUGAUACAUGUAUUUCAUCAAAUUUCUGUGUUUUUGGAAUACUGCAGAGCAGCAUAAAAAUUAUGUCAUAGGAUUGGAGAGAAACGUUGCUGGUGGCAUAACUUUUCCCAUCUCGGACCUCGAAUGAGCACACAUUGAGGAAUUCGUUUGCAAGAAAGCACUGUUGAAAAAAAAUCUUGUGAAAAAAUGAACUUUUUUAUAUUUGCCAUGACGUGCCGCGCCCGGAUGAUGAGGACAAAGCAGUCCUUGAUACAGGGAAGCUGGAUUUGUUAAGAGAUUAUGCCAUAGGAUGGAGAAGAAUCGGGGACAUGAACAAUGCUGUGGGAAGUUCUACUCAAGAAAGCAGUUUUAAAAACGCCUUGUGUGAGAGUGAACUUUUUUAAUUUGGCUCUGUGUUAGGACAGUUUGUUUAAAAAAAGUGCAUGUUUAUCAAAUAAUUUUUGUGUGUAUAUAUUAUGAAUAUUUUUGUUGUAUUGUAUUUAAAAGCUUAAAAGUAUCAUCAAAAUGCGGAACGAAAAUGCGUACAAAUGCGAAGAUCUUUGGAAGAAGUUCCACAUUUGCAGAAGUAUUAAUUUCACCAAGAUACCGAAGAAAAAAGUUCCGCAGUGUGGGAUUUCUCCGCAUUUCCGAAUUCUGGGUUUUUGAUGCGGAUCACCGCAUCCAAUACUCCGCAUCUUUUCCGCACUUUGCGGAAAAAGGAAUGCGGAGAUAUUGCAGAAUUCCAAAUUUUUUGCGGAAAUUUGAGAUAAGGGUGAUCUUUUUGAAAUUUAAUAUCUUAAAAUAAAUAUAAAUAUACUA